UACGGAGGGGGCUAGCGUUGUUCGGAAUUACUGGGCGUAAAGCGCACGUAGGCGGCUUCGCAAGUCAGAGGUGAAAGCCCGUGGCUCAACCCCGGAACUGCCUUUGAGACUGCGUCGCUCGAAUCUGGGAGAGGAGGGUGGAAUUCCGAGUGUAGAGGUGAAAUUCGUAGAUAUUCGGAAGAACACCAGUGGCGAAGGCGGCCCGCUGGACCGGUACUGACGCUGAGGUGCGAAAGCGUGGGGAGCAAACAGG
rnacentral:rRNA from 1 species